AUUGAACGCUGGCGGAAUGCUUUACACAUGCAAGUCGAGCGGCAGCGCGGGGCAACCUGGCGGCGAGCGGCGAACGGGUGAGUAAUACAUCGGAACGUGCCCAGACGUGGGGGAUAGCCCGGCGAAAGCCGGAUUAAUACCGCAUACGAUCUACGGAUGAAAGCGGGGGAUCGCAAGACCUCGCGCGUCUGGAGCGGCCGAUGGCAGAUUAGGUAGUUGGUGGGGUAAAGGCUUACCAAGCCUACGAUCUGUAGCUGGUCUGAGAGGACGACCAGCCACACUGGGACUGAGACACGGCCCAGACUCCUACGGGAGGCAGCAGUGGGGAAUUUUGGACAAUGGGCGCAAGCCUGAUCCAGCCAUUCCGCGUGCAGGAUGAAGGCCCUCGGGUUGUAAACCGCUUUUGUCAGGGAAGAAAUCUUCUGGGUUAAUACCUCGGGAGGAUGACGGUACCUGAAGAAUAAGCACCGGCUAACUACGUGCCAGCAGCCGCGGU
rnacentral:rRNA from 1 species